rnacentral:rRNA from 1 species
GAUGAACGCUGGCGGCGUGCCUAAUACAUGCAAGUCGAGCGAACGGACGAGAAGCUUGCUUCUCUGAUGUUAGCGGCGGACGGGUGAGUAACACGUGGAUAACCUACCUAUAAGACUGGUAUAACUUCGGGAAACCGUAGCUAAUCCCGGAUAAGAUUUUGAACCGUAUGGUUCAAAAGUGAAAGACGGUCGUGCGGUAACUUAUAGAUGGAUAUGCGCUGCAUUAGAUAGUUGUGAAGGUAACGGCCUACUAAGGCAACUAGGCAUAGACGACCGGAGAGGCUGAUAGGCCACCCUGGAGCGGAGCCAGGGUCCAGACGACUACGGGACGCAGCAGUCGGCAAUCUGACGCAAUGGGCGAAAGCAUGGCGGAGCAAGGGCGCGCGAGUGAUGACGGUCUCCGGAUCGUAAAACUCUGUUAUUAGGGAAGAACCUAUGUGUCCGUAACCGUGGCGAGCGUGACGGUAAUUAAUAAGAAAGCAACGGCUAACUACGUG